UUAUGGAUAAGCUAACUGUUAGCAAGAGUUUAUCUAGGUAAAUUUCUCCAUCACCUAUUGGAUUCGCUGCCUUAAAACAUUUACCAAUGUCAGUUAAGACUGUUGCAGCCUACUGAUGUCUAUCUCCCAAUCGACACUACUUAGCACUCUACUAUGCACUACAGGGGCAGAGGAAGCUGACUGAACAACAUAUAACCUGCCGCACUAAGAUGCAACAGGUGGUCAGGGAAGAGGAUCAGCUGAGGCCAACAUGAGCUUAUUGGCCAGGAUGAGGAUGACGUGACCGCAUGGCACGGCCAACCAGAGAAGGCUAACAGCUCCUGUAUGU